UCCACUUUGUCCUCCUGGGCAGCUUUUCCUGAGGCUGGGACAAAGGGAGUUAUUUUGGGGAUGAGAGCCUGCCAUGGGCACAGUCCAAGCUCCCUGUGACAGCAGUGGGAGUGUGUGCUGUGCUGGGAGGGAUUUGCUGGCAGCCUGGCAGACCUGAGUGCCGUGGGCUCCUGUGCUACAGCUGUCCUGCUGCCCAGCUCUCCUGGAAUGUGUUUCCCCAGCCCUGUUUGAUCAGUGGGAGCGAAAUGUGCAGAUGGAGCUCAGCCUCUGGCAUCAAAUUCAUGGAGUUACUCCAGAGAAAUGCUGCUCACAGGAAAAAUACCCCCAGCAUCUGUUUUGGAGCAGAGGAAAAUUUGAAUGUGGAGUAAUAUUCCAGCUAAAGAUGUGCAUGCCUCAGAUUGGUGGUUAGCCUCCCUCCUUGCAGCACUUCUCUGGUAGAAGGAGGAUUCCUGUUUGUUACCAUUUCCCAGCCCAUGGGCCCUGAAGAGAGGAAAAAGCACAUUUUGGUAGGUGCUGGUUGCAACCUGAGUCCCAGAUAUCACCUGGAGAUUCCUGUCACAGAUGAUAAGUACAGCAAAAUAGACCUGAAAAGAGAAGGAAAGAGAAGAAAAUGGAAAUCAUCACACCAGAAAGUCCCUUUUUUUUUGGAUCUUGCUGUUCUGUGUCCAUUCAGGGUCACCUCUACAUUUCCCAUGAAGCAGUUUUUCUUGCAGGCUGGGCUCACAAGGGUUUCUUUGCUUCUUCCUCAAAAAGCCACCGACAAGCAGUCUCCAGGCAAAUCCUCUUUAGUAGGCAGCUGCACAGAAGAGAUAAUUCAGGUCUAGGACUGUAAUAGAACAAAUGUCAGAAGAGCUUUCCCACCUCAGCUCCCACCUUACACUCAGUGGAUACUGAUCAAAACCCAUGAGGGAUUUGUUUCCAGCCAGCUGAGACCCCUCAAAAGGCAGAGUUUACCUGGAUGUUGGUUUUGAACUGCAGAUUCCCCCUUCUUCUUCUGAGAUAGUGUGAGCUCCUCACCUUGUUUCAGACUGUUUGCUCUGGGGCCUGAGGCCACAUCAUGAAUCUUGCAGCACAGUUUGGGCAGUAUUUUAACUUGGAACUCUAAGCCCUUUGACAUGUGGCAGAAAAUAAAUGGGAAGGCCAUGCUGUGUGGAUUUCUCUGUAGAUGUUUGCAUGGAGGAGUGUGAUGCCAGUGUGUGAAACAAAAUACCAGGAAGAGAGUGUGUAACUAAGAACAGGGAGGUCAUGACUG